ACUUUCAAAGGAUAGUAGUAAUCCAAUGGUCUUAGGAACCAGCUACCUUGGUGCAAAUCCAAGUGAAAGUA
rnacentral:tRNA from 1 species